GAUUUAUAGGUAAUGUAGUGGCUGAGGGACUGGCCCGAAGAAGCCCGGCAACCUCUAAGAAAAAUAUUUCUUAAAAGGUGCUAAUUCCAGCAGGAUACGCCUGGUAGAUAAGUU
rnacentral:ncRNA from 2 species